GAUGAAGAACGUAGCAAAAUGCGAUAAGUAAUGUGAAUUGCAGAAUUCAGUGAAUCAUCGAAUCUUUGAACGCACAUUGCGCCCGCCAGCAUCCUGGCGGGCAUGCCUGUCCGAGCGUCAUUUCAACCCUCAAGCCCCGCUUGGUGUUGGGCCCCGCCCGCCGUGGCCGGCCCUAAAGACAGUGGCGGCGCCGCCUGGCCCUCAGCGUAGUACAGCUCUCGCUCCAGGGUCCGGCGGCCGCCUGCCAGAACCCCCCCAACUCUGUGGUUGACCUCGGAUCAGGUAGGGAUACCCGCUGAACUUAAGCAUAUCAAUAAGCGGAGGA
rnacentral:misc_RNA from 1 species